rnacentral:rRNA from 1 species
GACGAACGCUGGCGGCGUGCUUAACACAUGCAAGUCGAGCGGUAAGGCCCUUUCGGGGGUACACGAGCGGCGAACGGGUGAGUAACACGUGGGUGACCUGCCCUUAGCUCUGGGAUAAGCCUGGGAAACUGGGUCUAAUACCGGAUAUGACCUCAUGACUCAUGUUGUGGGGUGGAAAGCCUUGUGCGGCUAGGGAUGGGCCCGCGGUCUAUCAGCUUGUUGGUGGGGUAAUUGCCACCAAGGCGACGACGGGUAGCCGGCCUGAGAGGGCGACCGGCCACACUGGGACUGAGACACGGCCCAGACUCCUACGGGAGGCAGCAGUGGGGAAUCUUGCGCAAUGGGCGAAAGCCUGACGCAGCGACGCCGCGUGAGGGAUGACGGCCUGG